AUCCUGUGGCCAUGGCCGCGCCACUCCACUCCACCACCUCCUCCUCAAACCCUAGCCCCACUCGCCUCCUCCUCCGCCUCGCCCGCUCCCAUCCAUCAUUCCCCAUGGCGUCCAUCACCACCACCGCCGCCUCCUCCUCCUCUUUCCUCCACCGCCGCCGCCGCGCCGGCGCCGCCUCGCCCCCGCAAGGCGGCGGCACCAUCCUGCGGCUGAACCACCACCACCAGCAGCAGCACUACUACCAAAGAUUCGCAUGCCGCGCGGCGGAGGUUUCAGGGGCGGAGCCGUCGGCCGCGGCGGCGGCGGAGGCGAGCGGCGGGGGAGAGGGGAACUGGGUGCCGGUGGUGCCGCUGGCGGCGCUGCCGCGUGGGGAGCGGCGGGUGAUCGUGCAGGACGGGGAGGAGAUCCUGCUGCUGUGGUACAAGGAGCAGGUGUACGCCGUGGAGAACCGCUCCCCGGCCGAGGGCGCCUACACCGAGGGCCUCCUCAACGCCAAGCUCACCCAGGAUGGCUGUAUCGUUUGCCCAACAACAGACAGCACAUAUGAUCUUCGUACUGGCGAAAUAAAAGAAUGGUAUCCAAAAAACCCUGUUUUAAGGGCUCUUACCCCUGCAUUGAGAAAACUAUUCGUGUACCCGGUGAAGACCGAUGGAGAGAAUAUAUACAUCAGCAUUAGGGGAGCUGAUAGCUCUGGUGGAUCUGCAGAGAUCAUAUUCAGUGGGAAAGCUCAACCUGGGUUUACUGCAUCUGAUGUCAAUAUUGAAGAGGUGAGAAUGGUAAUCGAUGAGGAUGUUGGAGGUUUUGGUUUCACCAGUGCGAAUGAACUCAUAAAUGGAAAAGCCGCUAUAAUUGGCUUUCUCUUGUUAAUAGACUUUGAACUCUUAACUGGGAAAGGCCUUCUCAAGGGAACUGGUUUAUUGGACUUCAUAUAUGCAAUUUCAAGAGCUUUCAGCUCAUAAGGAUGCUUGUUCUUUGGUGUGGAAUAUUGUCCAUGUACAUCAUUACUCAUAUUGGAAAAGCUAAAUGGAUGAAGCGAAUGAGGAAAGCAGAUGAUAAUAUAGAACAUGCCAUGGGAAUCAACAAAGCGGAUUUAAUAUAGUAUGUAGAAAAACUUCAAUGUAGUUCUCAUAUGUAGUCUGAGUUUGUACUUGUACCUGCACUCAAGCUGAAAAUAGAGUGAUUUCUAAGAACUUGGAGAGAAAUCUUUGUGAACAAUCAGAAAGGUACUUAAGGUACUUUCUUUUGACGAAAACACAUUGUUCCUUUUUCAUCAAAGAAAAUGGUGAAAUUGUACUGAUGAUAGGUGGAACUUAAUCAUUGCAAAUAGCAAACUUCCUAGAGAACUGCACUGAAGUUUUUUCUGCACCUUAUUUGAGUUAGAAAAGAAUCAAUACUAUGAGCUUGUUUUGCUGCAAUGCUCAUGUGGGCUAAUGACUAACAUGAGUGAGACCAUGUAACCUCUGAAACCUGAAG